AACGAACGUUGGCGGCAUGCCUAACACAUGCAAGUCGAACGAGACCUUCGGGUCUAGUGGCGCACGGGUGCGUAACGCGUGGGAACCUGCCCUUAGGUUCGGAAUAACUCCCCGAAAGGGGUGCUAAUACCGGAUAAUGUCUUCGGACCAAAGAUUUAUCGCCGUUGGAUGGGCCCGCGUUGGAUUAGCUAGUUGGUAGGGUAAAAGCCUACCAAGGCGACGAUCCAUAGCUGGUCGGAGAGGAUGAUCAGCCACACUGGGACUGAGACACGGCCCAGACUCCUACGGGAGGCAGCAGUGGGGAAUAUUGGACAAUGGGCGAAAGCCUGAUCCAGCAAUGCCGCGUGAGUGAUGAAGGCCUUAGGGUUGUAAAGCUCUUUUACCCGGGAUGAUAAUGACAGUACCGGGAGAAUAAGCUCCGGCUAACUCCGUG
rnacentral:rRNA from 1 species